rnacentral:rRNA from 1 species
AACAAACGCUGGCGGCGUGCCUAAUACAUGCAAGUCGAACGGGGAAAGUAGCAAUACGAGUACUAGUGGCGCACGGGUGAGGAAUACAUGGGUAAUCUGCCCUCGAGCUCGGGAUAACCAGUCGAAAGACUGGCUAAUACCGGAUAUGACCACAAGAUCUGAGGAUCAAGGGGUAAAAGGUUUUUCGCCUGAGGAUGAGCCCAUGUGGGAUUAGCUAGUUGGUGUAGGUAACGGCUCACCAAGGCGACGAUCCCUAACUGGUCUUAGAGGAUGAUCAGUCACACUGGAACUGAGACACGGUCCAGACUCCUACGGGAGGCAGCAGUAGGGAAUAUUGCACAAUGGAGGAAACUCUGAUGCAGCGACGCCGCGUGAGUGAUGAAGGCCUUCGGGUCGUAAAGCUCUGUCGUAUGGGACUAACAAAAUGAAGGUACCAUGCAAGAAAGGAUCGGCUAACUUCGUGCCAGCAGCCGCGGUAAU